GCCUCCAGUGAUGAUAUCCUCAACCUCCCUCAGCUUUGUCGUCCCAAGUUUCUUUGUUCACUGUGUCUCAAGGUAAUCAGAGUUGGACUGGUUCUAGAUGCGCUGCCAGGCUGCAGAUUUGUGAAGGAGCUGCUGUGUCCAUCUGUGUCUGGUUCACCUGGAAUGAGAGCAGUUCACUGGAGCAACUGGAAUGAACAACCACACGCAAUCUGAGCAAAAGGACUCCCAGAGCUGUGGAGCAACUGUCAGGAAUACUAAGCACUUCCAGGUUGUCAUUCGACUGUGUCCUCAGGACCAGAGUCAAUUGCAGACAGAUGGGUCAAGAUACUCCAUCAGCGUGGCUGAACCGAGCAGGAUUGUUGUUGACACGGGCCGGUCUCUCGUGGGAUUCCUCUUGCAGGGCUACAAUGGCUGUGUCAUCGCAUAUGGCUCCCCUUGCAGUGGAAAGACUUACACAAUGAUGGGCCCCAGCUUCACUGGCACGAACCGAGGCAUCAUCAGCCGAGCAGUCGAAGACAUCUUUAACUCACCACAGGCAUCCAGUUGCAGAGUCAGAGUGUCCUUCUAUCACAUCUCAAAUGAGAAAAUAUAUGAUCUGUUGGUGAGAUUUUUAUUUAGUCCAGUCAGCCAGUGAAGCCUAAAUUAAAGGUACAUGCAUGAUAUUUUAAGUUAUGUUCUUCUGGUAAACAAUGCAGCAGGGAUCCAAGCUUGAGCUCUAGCAGCUUAAUACGCCUGGAAUCCUGGCCUUUUUAUACUUUUCAUCACUCUUAACCAGUUAUCCCAUGUAAUACAUAUUAUAUAUUUAGGACCAGUCAAAAUGUCCUUCCUACUCUAACAUAGUUAAUGUCAAAUUCUGCUCUUGGGAUAAAGUAAUGGCAUUUCACUUUUUAUCACCUCAGGACAACCAGCCAACAGAAGUGACUCGUAUCCAUGAUGGGGAGGAGGCAGUGGUGCUGGAGGGCUUGAAGGAGGUGGAGGUGAACUCCCUGCAGGACCUGAUUCAGCUGUAUCGGCGUGGGGCAGCCAACAGGCAGGCAGGUGUGAGCACUCAGCUUUACUCUACUCCUCCCUUAUGAAAAAAAUAUAUAUGAAAUAAAUAUGAAAUAGUGCAUUUCA
rnacentral:lncRNA from 1 species